rnacentral:lncRNA from 1 species
AUCCUGCACCCCAACCCACCAUGUCCUCACCCAUCGAACCCAAAUCCCGCAAGUUCCCACCGCCCUCAACGCCAAAUUGGACCCAGGCACCAAUUCCCGAUCCAGUUGGAGUUUUUGCUCCAGACCUUGGACCAGCGGACUUUCCACCGCCAUGAAAACACGAAAGUUGCAGGUGCGGCUUGACUGGGUUUUGUUUUGGCGUCGUGACAGGGAUCUCCGGUAGCCGAUCUUUGAUACGAGGUGCAUGCAGCGGCCUUGAAUCUUCGGCAGCCAUGACCUCGAAGGGGUGGUAGUCGGCGUUUGUUACAGUUGGGGUAAUAGUCGGCGCCGCAUCCUCUCUCCCUCCGCCAGUGCCCUCCCCAACUCCGUCGCUGCAAUCUGCUGCCGAUUCGCCUUCUCACGUAUCUCCAUCGGCGAUUCCCCCCACCCCAUGUCUCCCAAAACAAACCCCAGCCGCAGCCUCCAUCCAUGUCUCCACAAUUUCUGAGCACGGAUCUGAAACUUUUGGUGGAUAUGGCUGACUUGAAUGCUCUGAUUUGUGAUUGUCUAUAAUUAUUAGUGAUUUUUUUUGUUUUUUUUUGUGUGUGUUAGGAAAUCCUUGAUCAGUUGGCCAUGCUGCAGAAAACAAAGAAGGAACCCUUUGUUGGGCUUGAAGACGGUGGAGAUCAAGGACCUGUAUUGUCUGCCCUCCCAUUUCGGUGCCCUCCUCGUGCCCUCCU